rnacentral:rRNA from 1 species
GAUGAACGCUGGCGGCGUGCCUAAUACAUGCAAGUCGAGCGAACAGACGAGGAGCUUGCUCCUCUGACGUUAGCGGCGGACGGGUGAGUAACACGUGGAUAACCUACCUAUAAGACUGGGAUAACUUCGGGAAACCGGAGCUAAUACCGGAUAAUAUAUUGAACCGCAUGGUUCAAUAGUGAAAGACGGUUUUGCUGUCACUUAUAGAUGGGUCCGCGCCGCAUUAGCUAGUUGGUAAGGUAACGGCUUACCAAGGCAACGAUGCGUAGCCGACCUGAGAGGGUGAUCGGCCACACUGGAACUGAGACACGGUCCAGACUCCUACGGGAGGCAGCAGUAGGGAAUCUUCCGCAAUGGGCGAAAGCCUGACGGAGCAACGCCGCGUGAGUGAUGAAGGUCUUCGGAUCGUAAAACUCUGUUAUUAGGGAAGAACAAAUGCGUAAGUAACUAUGCACGUCUUGACGGUACCUAAUCAGAAAGCCACGGCUAACUACGUG